GCCCCAGCCUGCUGUUUCCGGCUUCUCUGUCUACCCAGGUCCCUCCCUGGAGCUCUGACGACACAGAGAAGAGAAAGUAGGCUGGAGGAGGAAGAGGAAGAAAGUGGGUACAUUCUUCUCUGACAAGAACAUAAGCUCCUGGAGGACGGGAUCAUCUCAUCUUGUAAACGCUGCUGUGUAGCUAGAGAAGACAACAUUUUUUCUUGCCAGUAAAAACAAGGACUACA